rnacentral:lncRNA from 1 species
AACACAUUCAUGUGCCUCAGCAUGGGGGCAGCUGCACUGUUGCCUGCCAGCCUGUCCUCUUUGACUGCCGAAUGAACCAAAGGAUAACUCUCCAUUCGUGAGAGAGAGUGAGCUACAGAGGAAGAAAGACCACGCAAAAGGGAGGGGGAGAGAGGGGGGCGAAGAGGAUGUUCUCCGGCUCACUCCUACAUUAGGUCUCUGUGCAAAGGCAGAGGCUGUGGGAGCAGCAUCAAGCAAGACUUCGGGCAGUGAUUCUAACUAUUGCCUAUGAACACCGUGGCUGGGACGACUUUGACGAGGCAAUUUAUUACUUACGCAUAGAACACUGGCUGUGCUGAAACUGGGAGCGCAAACAGCCCCUUGUUUUCUAAUUUAGAGACUUGCAUCUUUUCGACACUCAACAGUAUCAAGACACUCUGCUACUACAGCACAGAAUCUUCUGGAGAGGAAAGAAGAAACCAUGUCUAGACAAGGUGCUGGAAAGACCCAGGGAAGACACAGGUGAGCUAAGAAAGCAGUAGAAACUGGGUAAUUAAAAGUCAACAUAAUGGCUGGAAACUUGUUCAAGGAGAUAUAAAAAGAAAGAAAAACCAAAAGAGAGACUGUAUGGAUGAACUUUGUCUAUUUACAAUUUUGUCUAAGGCCAAAUCUGCAGUCUGGUCCCACCGCAUGUUAUCUAAGUUGUUCAUAUACCAAUACUAAGAGCUACUGAAAUUCUUCCAAAAAAUCAAAAUCAUUUCCCCUUUGAUUUGCUAGUUUUCCCUCUUGGUAAAUAAAGAUUCAUUUUUUAGUAAUAACUGACCUGCCCUAAGGGUUCACCACUUUCUUCUGAUCUCAAAUCUUGUGCUAGGUCUUUAGGUUACAAUUCAUGAAACUAAAAAAUAAACAAAAAAAUUCUCUUACUGUGGUUUCUGCUUUUCUCUUUUAAAGAUAUAUUUUUAAGGUCUAAUAAUAUUAACAUGAUGAGCUUAGCUAACUGUAUAAGAUUGAUUCUAAAAAUUGUACACUGAAAUUAUCUUUUAGACAUCUAAGAAAGCUCAAGUUCUAAUUUCUUCAUUUAGUCAUUUUAUUAGUCCACUCUCAUGCUGCUAUAAAGAACUACCCGAGACUGGGUAAUUUAUAAAGGAAGAGAUUUCAUUCAUUCACAGCUCUGUAUGGCUGGGGAAGCCUCAGGAAACUUACAAUCAUAGUGGAAGGGGAAGCGGGAGCAUCUUACAUGGCAGUGUAGGGGUAGGAGAGAGAGAGAGAGAUUGAGAGAGAAGCAAAGGGGAAAGAGUCCCUUAUAAAACCGUUAGAUCUCAUGAGAAUUCACUCACUGUCAGGAGAAGCAUGCGGGAAACUGCUGCCAAGAUUCAAUCACCUCCUUUCCUCUACACACCAGGCAUUACAGGUCCUUCACUCUACACAUGAGGAUUACGAUUUGAGAUGAGAUAUGAGUGGAGACACAGAGCCAAAACAUAUCAGUCAUUAAAUGUUUAUCAAACACCUAUAUGACAGACUCUGAACUAGAUACAAAGAUUUUCAACAUCUUAUUUCCUGGUUUAGAAGUUCAUGGCCAAACCAUAAAGGACACAGAUAAAUAAGAAACUCUGAACCAAUAUAACACACACACACACACAAAAGAAAACUAACAGAAAAACAUAAGGAAAUUUAUAAUUUCUCACGAAAUGAAGUCCAGGAUAACAAGUUUAAAUGCUGGUUGAAUCAGCAGUUACAAGAUAUUGCUCAUUAGAAGGCCAACAGACUUCAACACUCAUGCUUGGAAAUAAACUUGACUGAUGGGAUGAGACAACAAUUCUCCUAGGUGAAAGGAAAAGUGAUGGUUGAGAGACAGGUCACAGAUUGUAGCCAAAUGGUCACAAGCAGCCAAAGACUUUGGGCAUGAGUCACUGGUUUUCACAGAAAAGAUAGAUAUGACUCUUUAAUUCAAAAAGCCUGUUAGGGGACCUCAGAUAAGAGAGUGGACACUGUCCAAGAGAUCAUUCAGGCAGAUUUUGUAGAGCAGAAAGAAUACAGGACUGGGAAAAGACUCAUUUAGGUACAUUAAUGUGUAAGGGGCAAAUCAAUAGGCGAUGGACGUGAAGUAAAAGGCUAUUAUGAGACAACUGGAGGUAUAAAAGGUAAAUCAGGAAGAAACACUGCCCUUGAAGGUAGAGAGCAAUGCUUCAAAAAGGAAGAGGUGCUCAGCAUUGUUUAAAAAAUCAUUUAGAUAGUAAGAAGAUGUAAAUAAGUAAAUAAAUAAACAAACAAACAAACAAACAAACCCCUGGAUUUGU